AUGCAAGUCGUACGAGGCUAUAGUUUUCGGAUUAUAGUUUAGUGGCAAAUGGCUGAGUAAUACAUAGGUAACCUGCCUGUGAGUGGUGGAUAACUUGCUGAAAGGCAAGCUAAUACAGCAUGUGGUGAACAAGGAUUUCUUGUUUAUCAAAGCCUUCGGGCGCUCGCAGAGGGGCCUAUGCCUGAUUAGCUAGUUGGUGAGGUAACGGCUCACCAAGGCUUUGAUCAGUAGCUGGUCUGAGAGGAUGGUCAGCCAGAUGGGGACUGAGAUACGGCCCCAACUCCUACGGGAGGCAGCAGCAAGGAAUAUUGGGCAAUGGGCGAAAGCCUGACCCAGCGACACCGCGUGAGGGAUUAAGGCCUUCGGGUUGUAAACCUCUUUUCUCGAGGAAGAAGCUCUGACGGUACUCGAGGAAUAAGCCACGGCUAACUACGUGCCAGCAGCCGCGGUAAUACGUAGGUGGCAAACGUUGUCCGGAUUUAUUGGGCGUAGAGAGAGUGUAGGCGGCUUAUUAAGUCAAGUGUUAAAUCUUCUGACUCAAUCAGGAGCUGCAUUUGAUACUGGUAGGCUUGAGUGCAGCAGAGGAAAACGGAAUUCCCAGUGUAGCGGUGAAAUGCGUUGAUAUUGGGAAGAACACCAGAGGCGAAGGCGGUUUUCCAGGCUGUGUCUGACGCUGAGACUCGAAAGCGUGGGGAGCGAAGCGGAUUAGAUACCCGCGUAGUCCACGCCUUAAACGGUGGACAUUAGGUAUGGGAAGUAUCGACCCUUUCUGUGCCGUAGCUAACGCUUUAAAUGUCCCGCCUGGGGAGUACGGUCGCAAGGCUAAAACUCAAAGGAAUUGACGGGGGUCCGCACAAGCAGCGGAGCGUGGUUUAAUUCGAUGAUACACGAAGAACCUUACCAGGGUUUGACAUGUCAGAAGUAGGAAGCCGAAAGGUUUACGACCUGUAUCCAAUCAGGAACUGUCACAGGUGCUGCAUGGCUGUCGUCAGCUCGUGCCGUGAGGUGUUGGGUUAAGUCCCGCAACGAGCGCAACCCUUGUUCUAUGUUAAUUUCUCAUAGAAGACUGCCUUGUACAGCAAGGAGGAAGAGGAGGAUGACGUCAAGUCAGCAUGGCUUUAUGCCCUGGGCUACACACACGCUACAAUGGGUAAUACAGAGGGUUGCCAAAGAGCGAUCUGGAGCUAAUCCCUUAAAAUUAUCCUCAGUUCAGAUUGUAGGCUGAAACCGCCUGCAUGAAGUCGGAGUUGCUAGUAAUCGCAGGUCAGCUAUACUGCGGUGAAUACGUUCUCGGACCUUGUACACACCGCCCGUCACGUCGUGGAAGUUGGAAACACCUGAAGUCAAUGUGUUAACUUGCUUAGGUAAGAAAUAGUUGUUGAAGGUGGAGCUGAUAACUGUGGCGAAGUCGUAACAAGGCA
rnacentral:rRNA from 1 species